UUAAGAAAAAAGCUCUUUAUUCCACGUCGUCCAAUAUUUUUACACAAGUAAAAUAAAAUGCAUAUCUCUAUAUACCGCGAUCCGGGUGGGAGACAGCGUUCUGGAACAAACGCAGCCCCCUGACCCUGUAAACAUGAUGGGGUGGAGAUGGGGUUGGGCUAGAGGGGAGGCGUCCAUCAGGGAGGGCCUGGCCUGCCCCAUGGGGCCCAUCCCCAGGCGCUGGCUGGCGGCAUGGAGGGAGACCCCAUAUGUACACACACCUGGCUGCUGAGAGGCUCUGGUGGCUGAUGGCUGAUCAGCAGGGCCCAAGUACUGUCCAUAGCACCAGGGCAAGGCCCAGGGGCACAAGGCUGCAGGCCAGGGCUGGCAGGGUGCCCGAGGCCUCUGCAUCAGCUGCCCCGCUGCCUCCACUGCCCGCCUGGCCCAGGCGGCACUGGCUGCGGGUGCGGUUCUUUCGGGAACAGCCUGGCCGCCGGCGGGGGCCAGUGGUGGGGGAGCCCUGGCGACUGGGAACCCUCAGGGCGCAGUGCAGUCAGUGGAGGCUCUGCAGAGCUAGGCAGGGUCCCAAACGGAGAGUCAUUGAUGUGCCGUGGGCCCGAGCCAUUGCCUGGCGGGCUGUCACCAGGAGGCACACGCCCCUUGAGGGCAUUGCCAGCUGAGGCUGGCCUCCCAGGCUCCAGCACCGAGGCCUUGUCUGCUGCAUCAGGCUGGCAGCACUUGGGCAGCACCAGCAGCUCCUCAUCGGUGGCCCCACUGGUCCGGAUGGGAUGGAAGGGCCCAGUGGUCAGGGCACAGCCCUCCAGGUCAGUGGAGGCUAGUCGCUUAAGGUCACGGCCAGCCAGGAGCACAGGAAAGCUGCAUGGCACCUCCGAGAGGAACCUCGGAACUUCUGCAGCCAGGCCCAGAGUGGGCGUGCCCGGCAAUCACACACCCAGGGGUUAUCGUUGAGCCGAAGGUACUGCAGGGCACGCAGGGGUGCCAGGGCCUCGGCGGGCAACAUGGAGAGGUUGUUGGCAAACAGGUAGAGCGGGUCAUGAGGCGACCAAGGUCAUGGAAGGCAUGCGGGUGCACGCGGGCCACACGAUUCUGGUGCAAGAGGAGCGGUCCAGGCUGUGCAGGCCCCGGAAGGCGCCCAGGCACGCUAGGGAUGUGGUUGCCGUGCAGAAAAAGGUGUGAGGUUGCCCAGGUCACGGAAGGCGUCGUCAGGCAGCGCUUGUAGCCCAUUGUCUUGCAGGUAGAGGUACUGCAGGGCGCGGCCAGGCCAUGGAACAGGCCGGGGCCCAGCUCCUGCAGGCCACAGCGGUCCAGAUGCAGUGUGUGCAGGCGCUCAGGCCAUGGAAUGUGGUGGGAUCCACGGCACGAAGUUGAGCAUUGUCGCUGAGGUCCAGCUGCUCCAGGAGGGUCAGGCCAGCAAAGGCAGUGGCGUCAAUGUGGGCCAGUGCAUUGGAAUGCAGCCACAGGAUGGUGAGGUUGCGGCAGGCAUGGAAGCCAGCAGCCGGAAUAUGGGAAAUGCGGUUGCCGUGCAGGAAGAUGCGCUGGCUGGCAGCUGGGAUGCCAGUGGGCACAGCCUGCAGGCCCUGCUGGGGGCAGCUCAUGGUCACCUUGGGCUCACUGUAGCACACACAGGCACCUGGGCAUGGUGCUGCCACCUGCCAGGCCUGCAGCCACAGUACC
ensembl:lncRNA